CGCUGGCGGCGUGCCUAACACAUGCAAGUCAACUUGACUGAAGGAGCAAUCUGACAGUAGAGUGGCGCAAGGGUGCGUAACGCGUAAGUAACUUGCCCAAGGUAAGGAAUAACGUCGAGAAAUCGGCGCUAAUACCUCAUAAUGCAGCGGAUCCGCAUGGAUAUGUUGUUAAAGGUUUACCGCCUUGGGAUAGGCUUGCGUCUGAUUAGCUAGUUGGUGUGGUAACGGCACACCAAGGCUACGAUCAGUAACUGGUCUGAGAGGAUGAUCAGUCACACUGGAACUGAGACGCAGUCCAGACUCCUACGGGAGGCAGCAGUGAGGAAUAUUGGGCAAUGCUCGAAAGAGUGACCCAGCAACGCCGCGUGGAGGAUGAAGGUAUUCUAUAUCGUAAACUCCUGUGAGAGCAGACGAAAGACAGAUUAUUAAUCUGGAUGACUGUAUGCUCAGAGGAAGCCCCGGCUAACUACGUG
rnacentral:rRNA from 1 species